GGACGGCAGUAGUACGUACGACGAAGGGCGGCCACCCCACGGGGGUGGCCGCCCUUCGGUCGUGUCCGGGGCCCGUCCGGAUCCCGUCCGGAUCCCGUCCG
rnacentral:tRNA from 1 species